rnacentral:rRNA from 1 species
GAUGAACGCUGGCGGCGUGCCUAAUACAUGCAAGUCGAGCGAACAGACGAGGAGCUUGCUCCUCUGACGUUAGCGGCGGACGGGUGAGUAACACGUGGAUAACCUACCUAUAAGACUGGGAUAACUUCGGGAAACCGGAGCUAAUACCGGAUAACAUGUUGAACCGCAUGGUUCAACAGUGAAAGACGGUCUUGCUGUCACUUAUAGAUGGAUCCGCGCCGCAUUAGCUAGUUGGUAAGGUAACGGCUUACCAAGGCAACGAUGCGUAGCCGACCUGAGAGGGUGAUCGGCCACACUGGAACUGAGACACGGUCCAGACUCCUACGGGAGGCAGCAGUAGGGAAUCUUCCGCAAUGGGCGAAAGCCUGACGGAGCAACGCCGCGUGAGUGAAGAAGGUCUUCGGAUCGUAAAACUCUGUUAUUAGGGAAGAACAAAUGUGUAAGUAACUAUGCACGUCUUGACGGUGCCUAAUCAGAAAGCCACGGCUAACUACGU